UGGGGAAUAUUGGACAAUGGGCGAAAGCCUGAUCCAGCCAUGCCGCGUGUGUGAAGAAGGUCUUCGGAUUGUAAAGCACUUUAAGUUGGGAGGAAGGGCAGUAAGCGAAUACCUUGCUGUUUUGACGUUACCGACAGAAUAAGCACCGGCUAACUCUGUGCCAGCAGCCGCGGUAAUACAGAGGGUGCAAGCGUUAAUCGGAAUUACUGGGCGUAAAGCGCGCGUAGGUGGUUCGUUAAGUUGAAUGUGAAAGCCCCGGGCUCAACCUGGGAACUGCAUCCAAAACUGGCGAGCUAGAGUAGGGCAGAGGGUGGUGGAGUUUCCUGUGUAGCGGUGAAAUGCGUAGAUAUAGGAAGGAACACCAGUGGCGAAGGCGACCACCUGGGCUCAUACUGACACUGAGGUGCGAAAGCGUGGGGAGCAAACAGG
rnacentral:rRNA from 1 species